rnacentral:ncRNA from 1 species
CGCAUGGUGUUCGUGGAAAGCACGGAUGGCGAUGCGGCCCAUAUAUGAGGU